CCUACGGGAGGCAGCAGUGAGGAAUAUUGGACAAUGGGCGCAAGCCUGAUCCAGCCAUGCCGCGUGCAGGAAGAAGCAUCUAUGGUGUGUAAAACUGCUUUUGUACGGGAAGAAACACCUCUACGUGUAGAGGCUUGACGGUACCGUAAGAAUAAGGAUCGGCUAACUCCGUGCCAGCAGCCGCGGUAAUACGGAGGAUCCAAGCGUUAUCCGGAAUCAUUGGGUUUAAAGGGUCCGUAGGCGGUUUGAUAAGUCAGUGGUGAAAGCCCCGAUCGCUCAACGAUGGAACGGCCAUUGAUACUGUCAGACUUGAAUUACUAGGAAGUAACUAGAAUAUGUAGUGUAGCGGUGAAAUGCUUAGAUAUUACAUGGAAUACCAAUUGCGAAGGCAGGUUACUACUAGUGGAUUGACGCUGAUGGACGAAAGCGUGGGGAGCGAACAGGAUUAGAUACCCUGGUAGUCCACGCCGUAAACGAUGGAUACUAGCUGUUAGGAGCAAUCUNGUGNGAGAGAAGAGAGUAGUAGUACCGACCGUAACGGGUAGGUACGUUACGUUCGUAAGAAGUUAGAACGUUACGAAGUUAGAGUUAGACGGACGNGAGACGAGACGACGGACGACGACGAGGGAGGAGG
rnacentral:rRNA from 1 species